rnacentral:misc_RNA from 1 species
ACUUGAAUAGCAAUGGCGUAGUCACCAAACUCAAAGCUGUUGUUCCAAGAAGCAGUAAAUACAAUUUACCCUCAACAAGAUGAAGAUUAGAAGCACGACUUAAGAGAACAAAAGCAAAUUCCCCAAUUUGUGCCAGAGACAUUCCAACAAGAAGCGAAGUUUUAUUGUUGUAUCGAAAUCCCUUGACAACAGUCACAACCACAACAGUUUUUAUGAUAAUCACCAAUAAUACAGCUGCCAGUAAAAUAUCAACAUGAUUCCAUAGGAAAUGAACAUGUAUUAGCAUCCCAAUGCUGGCAAGAAAGAGAGCCGCAAAGAAGUUGCGAAUGGGUUCAACUUGUUCAAGUGUAUGUUGAGCAAGAUCAGUUGUUGAUAUCAUAACUCCAGCAGCAAAAGAUCCCAGUUCAAGGCUCAGACCCAGCUUAUCACUACACCAAGCCACAAGUAAGCAGAAUGCCACUGAUGCCAAUU